UGGGGAAUAUUGGACAAUGGGCGCAAGCCUGAUCCAGCCAUGCCGCGUGGAUGAAGAAGGCCCUAGGGUUGUAAAGUCCUUUCGACGGAGACGAUAAUGACGGUAUCCGUAGAAGAAGCCCCGGCUAAUUUCGUGCCAGCAGCCGCGGUAAUACGAAAGGGGCUAGCGUUGUUCGGAAUUACUGGGCGUAAAGCGCACGUAGGCGGUCGUGUAAGAUGGGGGUGAAAUCCCGGAGCUCAACUCCGGAACUGCCUUCAUGACUGCAUGGCUAGAGGAUGCGAGAGGUUGGCGGAAUUCCGAGUGUAGAGGUGAAAUUCGUAGAUAUUCGGAAGAACACCAGUGGCGAAGGCGGCUAACUGGUCCGGUACUGACGCUGAGGUGCGAAAGCGUGGGGAGCAAACAGGAUUAGAUACCCUAGUAGUCCCUGAGCGGGCUGGCAAGGCGCAU
rnacentral:rRNA from 1 species